UUUUUUUUUUUUUUUUUUUUUUUGUGCUUCUAACAUUCAAGAAUUCAGUCUUCUCCCUUGAAUACAGCAGAAAAAAGGGCAACUGUAUCUUUCUGGGAAUCAUAUAUUUUGUCUCUUACCUCUAAUGUCCCCACUUAUGUAGUAUUUACAUCCUCCUGGGCAGAAAAUUCAUAGUGAAUUCCUACCCAAUAGUAUCACCUUAACCUUACACAAGCACAAAUCCUCAGUUUGGUGGGCACAGAACAAAGCCACUGGUGUAGAAAUUAUAUAAAAGGGCAUGCAUAUAACUGUGGAAACACAUAUGGAGAUCCAGAUUAACAAAACUCCUUAGGCUACUACCAUGACUGGAGUUCCUAUGAGAAAAGGCAGCCCUAUCUAUCUAUCUAUCUAUCUAUCUAUCUAUCUAUCUAUCUAUCUAUCUAUCUAUCUAUCUAUUUCUAUGCUGCCAGGGGCUAUAUGAGGUCACAGCAGUCAUAGCUUGCCUAUGACAAAGAUGACAUCAUUUCUAUAUAUUAAGCUGCAUAUGUAUUAUAGGGGGCAGGGAACAGAAGAAAGCAAGUUUCUCCAGACUUCUGAGUCACAGCACUACUUACCAUUGGGGUUGCAACCGAAGGUCAGGUCUACUAGUGAACCGAGAGUAACCCCACAACUCUAAGACCAUUUCUCUGAAUUGACAGAAACACCACUGAUACUAGAGAAAGGGGAAGAUACUGUUUUGUUUUGUUUUUUUUCCACAUAGGAAGCUAUUAAAAUCAAGAUGGCUUGGUGACCGGUGACCAUUAGCUGGCAGCCAAGGUACCUCCCACAGGGAUGGGACUACAAGGAAGCUCCCUUUGGCUCUUCUGUCACCAUGUGGCCUUCCGUCUGCUGGCUGCUGUGCUUAGGCUUGCCCACCAGCUGUUGCCCUCCACACCCUCCUGCCACACUCUGGGUCUUAUCUGUCUAGUCCCAGAUGGGUGUGUGAGGUAGCAUGAACCUGAAUUUGUAUAAGUCCCAGAUGGUCAAUGGGUUACCGAUGUCCUAUGACUUGCUGGGGAUUACAUGCCUAUGAAAGAGCAGAGCUGGCACUCAGACCAGGAUCUUCUGUCCCCACACCCUGUCUUUGGGGAUAGCAGAAAAGCACAACUGUCCUCGAUGGAGAGGAAGAACCUUGUUACCUUGACUGUGGGCCAUUUCUUGACUGAACUAGGGAAGGUGAUACGGCUAACCUAUUGAGCCUGUCCUCAAACUCCUGCAAUCUUGUCUCCACAUCCUGAGGGCUUGCAUUACAGAAGUCUGCUCCCAUCUGACCAGGUCUCACCAGCACCCUGCCAACCGUCUCCCAUAAAAGUGCUACAGAAACGGAUUCUGAAACCCUGCCUAAAACCUAAAGCUAAGUGUGGGCAGGCACCGACCCCAGCGUUGCUUUCAUCUGCAUCUAUCCCUGUCAUAAUAUUCCUGAAGUAUCACCCAAAGGCUUCCGAGGUAAAGGCUUGGCCUUCAACUGCAAUAUCAUAUCAUUGAGAGGUGGCUGUACAAUGAGUGUUGCCUUAAUCAAUGAAUUAAUCCAAAGAUCAGUUAAUAACUUUGAUGGCGUUAUUUGAAGGUUAUAGAAACUUCCAGAAGAAGGGCCUACUUGGAGGAAGUAGAUCAUUGGGAAUUUCACUGUAUGUUUUGGUUUGUCUGUUUUUCUUCUCCCUCUCCCCACCACCCUUCUUUCUCUGUGUUGCCCCAAUAUGUGUCCUCCUAUUCGUGGGCAUGUACACAUGGAGGCUGAAGUUGUCAGAGCUUUGUCAACUUUGGCACAGCCUAGAGUCACCUGAGAAGGAAGUCUCAAUUGAGGAACUGCUCAGGUCCAGUUUGCCUAUGGGCAUGUCUAUGAGGCAUUUCUUUUUAUUACUAAUUUAUGUAGGAGGUCCCAGCCCACUGUGGGCAGCACCAUCCUCUGGGCUGGUAGUCCUGGGCUGUAAGAGAGCCAGUUAAGUAUGAGCCUGUGAGGAAUACAGCAAGCAGCAUUCCUCCAUGGUUUCUCUUUCAAGUUCCUGCCCUUAAUUCCCCAAUGACGGGCGGUGAUCUGAAAGCAUGAACCAAAUGGUCCUUUUCUCUUGGUCAGUGUUUUAUCACAAAAGCAGAAAGGAAAUGAAAACAGGUCUUCCCCUCCAUUGCUUUCCACAUCGUUUUCUGAGCCAGGGUCUCUCACUGCUCAUCACUUGUUUAGUCCACCAAGCUAGCAAGCUCCAGGAUAUGCCUGUCUCUGUGCUCCCUCCCAUCAGUGUGUGUGUGUGUGUGGGGGGGGGGGGUCACAGGCAAGUGCCACCAAGCCUGGCUUUUGAUGUGGGUGCUGGGAUCUGAACUUAACAUUCUCAUGGUUGCACAGUAAGCACCCCACUCACUGAGCCACCUUCCUGGCCCAGAAUCUGCCUUUAAAGGAUGAUAUCUCUUUCUGGCCUCUGCCUCCAAGAAGUGAGUGACGGUUCUCCACACCCUUCUCCCAUAGUGCUCUGCUUCACCACAACUCAGACACAAGACAACCGCUAACCAGGGACCAAAGUGUCUAAAAUUGAGCCCAAAUAGCCCUUUCCUUCUUUGGUUGUUUGUGUUGGGCAUUUGUUACAGUGACUAAAGGAAGAACUGCACAACCCUUGCUCUUGAUGGCGUGUUCUUUGCUUGCUGUUCCCCCCCACAGGCUCCUCUCCCCUUCCCUUCCCUCUCAUGACAGGACACUUGCUCUUGAUGGCAUCUUUUGCUCGCUGCUCCUCUCUGGUUCCUCUCCCCUUACGUUCCCUCCCUCCAGAUCCUUUCCAGAAGCAUGCUCUGCUAAUCUCUUCCCUUACCCCAGACCAUUCCUGUUGCAAGCAAGUAGUUAUAGUGACCAAACAGAAUGCCAGAUAUGGAAGAGCUUUAUACGUGGUGAGAGCUAUGUACAGUGAGGGUCGGUAGUAUUUUUCCUCAGCAGUCACAUAACCAGCCUCGUUGCUGUGUGUGCAUGCGUGUGUGGGUGACUCACCCCUGUGUGCACGUACAGACCAGAGGCUGACAUCAAGCACCUUCUAUUGCUUUCUGCCCUCUAAAAAAAGUUUUCUUUUUCUUCCUUUCUAUGUGUAUGAAUGUUUUGCCUGCAUGUCUGUAUGAGCACCCAACUGGUGCCCGUGGAGGCCAGAAGUGGACAUUAAAUCCCCUGGUACUGGAGUUACAGGUAAGGGUAGCAAGUGUUCUUCUUAACCUCAUAUCCUACUUUAAAAAAUUCAUUUAUUUAUCAUCUUUAUUGAUUUUAAUUGUUAUGUUUAUAUUGUAAAUGUAAGUAAUAAGUAUUAUAUGUAAAUAAGUUAUUUACCUAUUACAUUGACUUUAUUACUUUAUAUAUAUUUGUUAUAUUUAAUUAGUUAUCUUGUGUAUGCACAUGGCAUAUGAAUCAGUUUUCUUUCCAUCAUGUUGGUCUGAGGAAUUAAACUCACGUCAUCAUGCUUGGCAGCAUGUGCCUUUCUUCACUGAACCAUCUUGCCAGCAUUCUACACUCCCAAUGACCUACUUCCUCCAACUAGGCCCUACUUCUGGAAGCCUCGCUGGUUACCUAGACUGGCUGGCUAGUGAGCUUCAGGGAUCUGUCUGUCUGGAUUUAUAGACUUGUGACACCAGGUUUGGCUUUUCCAUAGUCACCAGGGAUCUCAACCUGGACUCAGAAACUCAGCCCAGCGAGCAUUUUGCCCACUGAGCCUUGUCUCCCAGCCCUUGGAUGGUAACUGAUUAAGUCAGAGUGUUUUGCCUUUUCUGUUAGAUUCUUACUACUCAAAGGGUGAUUCGCAGACUUGUAUCGUUGGCACCCCAGGGAAUCCUUGAAGUGAGUGCUGAGUCAGGAUAAUACUAAGAAGAGUUCUAAGUGCAUUCAAAUUUGGGAAACGUGUAACUUGCGGUGGUUAAUACAAACGGCCGUUCGCCUUGAGAGGAUCUAAGGUCACUUAGGAGACAUGCCACUGGGAGGGAGGGCCUAGACUUGGUUAGCUGAGGUGGGAACACCCAUCCGAAAUGUGGGUGGCACUGUUCCAUGGGCUGGGGUCCCAGGCUGAAGACAAAUGAGAGAGCAGCCGAGAAGCAGCACUCAACACUGUGGGCGGUGUGAGCAGAUGCCUCUCACUCCUGCCUUCACGCCUCCCUGAAGCCGCUUCUCAUCUGGUAUCUGGUCACAGCCAUGAACCGAGCAACUGAUACAAACCCUAAGGAUGUCAAGACACAUAUGGUAGUUCCCCCUCCAGGAAGCCUUCUAGCUGGUAGGACUGGGGGGUGCAGGAAGUAGUACCACACGACUGUGGCACUGCACGCAGUACAGUUCACUACCCCUUGCUAGCGUGGGUGCUGCUGCUUACUGGGACAGACGUGACACGAACAUGUUUCUAGGCCUGAAAGUCUUACACACAGAAACCACAGCAGAGCUUGGUUAGGGAAACUCAUGGUCAGAUGGAGCGCAUGCGUUCCUGGCCACUGGCAGGAGGGCAACAGUCGUGGAGCCUUUCCAAGAACCAAUGGCCCGCUGCUGAGUGAGCCCAGGUUCAUCACCCUGCUUUGACAGUCCAUGCUUCUUUGCUUUUCCACACCUCCCUGCCCCUGCACAUUCUAAGAGAUUUGGAAAGCACGUGUUAUAAAGGGCAGCUGGCCGGGAACUCUCAUAGCACACGUCUUGUGAUUCCUCAAAGCCCUGUGAGAGAAGAGUUAUCUAGAAAACCUACAGCAGCUAACUCUCUGCCUUGCUGGGACACAGAAAUAUACACUUCCCAUCAGCAGGAAGGUUACCCUGGAGCUUAGACUCCCUCAUGUGAUCCCUUCCAUAUAGGCAGCAGAGCUCCCAGAAGGCUGAGCCCAGAGAAACACGUCGUGCUGAAAACUAUACGUAUUAAUCAUCGGGUAUGUGAAGGACCAAUCUUAGUGAGACUGGAGAUGUUAAAACAAACAAAAACAAUGUGGAAUACCAAGGAGAGGUAGACUGAGACAGACACUAAGCUGGGAGGUGGAGUUUGAGAUGAGAUAAGGCAGUUGUUAGACAGCCCUGAGUCCAUUUUCCCCAAGUCUCAGCCUCCCCUCCUUGAGAGCAGGCGGGCAGAGUUGGUGCCAGCUGAACCUCAGGGAACAGAGGUGCACAGAGUACUGAGGUCUCAGUCCAUAGGUUUUUGGUAUGUGGCUCCUCUACAGGUGCCAGAAACAUUGAACCAGGAAGGCAGAGCCGAGGCUGCCGGGGCUGCCUUGCUUUGGGGCCCCUUCUUACCCUGAUCAUCUCUGCCACGUAACUCUCAGGCCCGGUGUACUCUGUGGAGUCCUUCACUUUCACCAGCACGAUGAAGCACAGAUAGUGCCACAUGUUGUGCUCUUCCUUGAUGUGCUCUUCAAAGGUGACAGUCUUAUUGUCAAACUUGUCCCUUUCCAAGCCUAAAUGAGAGACAGAACACCCCAGAUUCCCCAUGAGCCACCACGGUACAGCAAAGUCAGCAUAGCUUGUUGUCUUGAUUAAUCUGCAGGCAGAGUUGGAGUCUUUUGGCCUUCAAACCCACUUUCAUCAUGGUAGGAGGGCACAGGCAGGGAGUCUGACUUACCAGGGUUUAUUUGAUGUUUAUGUUUUGUUUUAAAACAGGGUCUCAUGUAGCCCAGGCUGGCCUUAAACUCACUAUGUAGCCAGGGGCUAACUUUGAACUCCUGGUACUUCUGCUUCAAACUCCCAAGUGCUGGAUUUACAGAUAGGCAAUACCGUGUGCAGAUCCUAGGGUCUGAAAACCCUGCAGCUUCCUAAUGAAGGCCAGGUGCCUUGGCUGCCUCACGGGUGCACGGGAAACCUGCCUUCCAGCUUCUAGGGGAGGAAGCAUGAGGAUAGGCUCAGGCCCCGGAGGACAUCAGUGAUUCUAAGCUCCCUUGUCCCAGGUAAAUGCCAAAGUGUGGACAUGACAAAAAGAACUUUAAACCAAUUUCAGAUGCUGGUUGAUAACUGUAUUUUGUGAAGGCCUGGGCUAGCCAUUAUGAAAUUAGAAUUGAAAAAGGAAAUAUAUUUCAGGCCAUUAGUAGGGUUUGGAUUCCUCACAUUAAAAGAAGGGAGCACAAAUAUACAGAGUAAGGAAGAUGAUAUAGACACUGUAAUGCUGAGGUAGGAUUAGAGGUAGCCAUCUUUUUGUUAUCUAUAUGAAACUAGAGGAACAGAUGUAGGUGGAUCCGUCUCCAUGUCUUUCUAUGCACACACAAAGGCAUACAUACACACCAGCCCAUAGAUCUACAGCCUAAACCUGGAACAGUGGUCAUCAAAAGGGAUGAACACUUAGAUGUUGGCUACUAAAUGCCUAUUUCACUAUGAACAACUGAAGAAAUGGCUGAUUGUAUGGCUGGAUCAGAGAAGGCAAAGGUUUGAGACUGGAAAUUCUUAAGUUGCCAGAAAAAUAUACAGUACAAAAAAAAUUAUGACACGACAAAACACAAAAGGCAGCCUGAAGGGUUCUCACUGGCCAAACCCAAGGGGAAAUGAGCAUCAAGGCAGAACCUGAUACAAUGGCACAUCACCAUAGUUGGGAGGCUGAGGCAGGAGGAGCACAAGUUCAAGGCCAGCCUACACUAACUCAAAAUUAAGGUAAGAUGUUAUGCCAAACUUAAUGACCUGAAUAAAUAAAUAUGGGAAAUAAUUUCCAAGGCAGAAUCACUAGGGGAUACUAUGUCUGGGGCUGAAUGGGCAAAGUGAGGAAUACCAAGGUUACUUACAAGGUUUCCAAGUGUCCUGCCAUACAGUGACUUUAUUGUGAGAAACAUACCAAAUAUGUCCUUAUCCAAGAGAACAAAGUGAGUAUCGGCAGCUGUAUACUUUAAGCUAUGACUUAAUGUUUCCCUGGUGUGGCAGACUGAGAAGGUGAGAAAAUGUGUCUUCAAUAUUCGUAUACAAAUGCAUAAGCUUAGCUCUACUAUAAGGGACCUUCAGAGAAACUCAAAUCAAAGGAUUUCCUACAAAACAAGUGCCUUAUGUUCUUCACAAAUGUCUGUGGAGGGGCUGAAGAGAUGGCUCAGUGGUGAAGAACACUGGCUGUUUCUCCAGAGGUCAUGAGUUGAAUUCUCAGCAACCAUGUGGUAGCUCACAACCAUCUGUAAUAGAAUCUGAUGCCCUUUCUGGUGUACAGACAAACAUGUGGAUCAAGCACUCCUAUACACAAAUAAACAAAUCUUUAAAUUUAAAAAAAAAAAAAAAAAGCCCAUGGAGUUAAGAGCCCAAAUGUAGGAUGUCACAUGGCUUGGGACUGUCUAAAGGCACUAGUAGAAUGAAGGGUGAGUUUUUUAAAUUAGAUAGACAGAUAGUUUUGUCUUAAAUUUCCCAGUAACUAUACUGCAAUCAUGUAAGACAAUGUUCUUGCCAGCAGCAAAUACAUACUGAAAUGCUAAAGAUCAAAAGGGCAUCAUGUCAGCCACUGACACUGAAUCAGUUCAGAAAAAGUGAGUGGGUGUGCAUGUGUGUGUGUACAGAAAGUAAAGGAAAGGGAAGCCAGUAUUAAAAUUAAAAUUAGGGGAAUCUUAGGAGCUGGGAGAAACUCUUUGUACUAGUUCUAUGACUUUUCUGUCACUAAAAUUACAGCAAAAUAAAAAGCUUAAAAACUAGGUCUUAAAGAGGCUAAAAAUUAAAGAAUUUAGAUGUUUAAAAGAAAGUUUCCAUUUUUUAGUAUCCAUAUUGGGAAGGAAUUCAUAAAUUUAGUAACCAUAUUCUGAAUAAUCCUGAUAUGAUUACUCAGCUUCCAGAUUCCAACAUGAUUAGUCUGCAUUUACAUAUAUUUUCCAAUAGUAAUACUUUUAGAGACUUUUUUGGUACCUCAUGAAACUAUUUUUAUUUUGGUUUUUGAGACAGGGUGUCAUGUAGCAAAGGCUGGCCUCAAACCCAUAGUCCUCCUGGCCCAGCCGCCUCCUGAGUGCUGAAAUUGCAUGUGUGAGCACUUGUUUCCUGCAGCAGUUCCUACUUAGCCUGCAGCAUGAAGGGGUUGGGGGUGGGAGGGCUAUGUCAGGAGCUUAUCCAAGUCCCCACUCCUAAUUCUCACAGGGAUGCAGAGAAGUGCACGGGGACACCACCCACGUUACAGGUGGAGAAGAUGGCUCAGUGAAUAUAAAUGACUGAGCGCAGGUGCAUGGCCAGUCAGCAGCUGAGGCUGGUCCAGAAGCAGGGGCUGAUGUACCGAGUCCAAGCCUUUAACUUUCACCUGACUGUAAGAGACUUCUAUCUUUUAAAAAAUAAAACAAAAAAUUUAUCUAUUUGUCUGUCUGUCUGUCUGUCUGUCUGUCUGUCUAUCUAUCUAUCUAUCUAUCUAUCUAUCUAUCUAUCUACCUAUUUCUUGAGAUAGGGUCUCACCAUGUACCCUUGGCUGUCCUGGAACUAGCUAUGUAGACCAAGUUGGCCUCAAAGUCAGAGAUCUAUCUGCCUCUGCUUCCUGAGUGCUUGGAUUAAAAUACAAUUAUACUAUCCGUGUGCCCCCUCAAACUCAUGGUGAGUAUAUGCAUAUGUAUAUAAAUACAAUCUACCGAGUCCAUUAGUGUUGCCUGCAUAUAUGUGUAUAUGAGUUCAGGUGCCUAUGGAGACUUGAGUUCCAGGGUGAUGUGAGCUAUUGCCUGACAUGGGCACUGGGAGUUGAAUCUGGGUUAUGUGCAGGAGCAGAGCAUGCACUUAGCCUCCGUGCUAUCUCUCCAGCCCUCCUCUUUCUCUUGUCUUUGAGAAAGGUUUUUACUAGGUAGCUCAGGUCCAAGUUGGCAUUGAUCUCACAGCAAUCGUCCUGCCUCAGCUUCCCAAGUGUUCUGAUUACAGAUGGGUGCUGCUGUGUCCAGCUCUAAUGGAAUUUUUCCAUUGCAGCCUGGUCCUGCCAGUGGAGAAGACAUUCUCAGGCUGUUGCUGGAUAACAGCUUUCCUUCCUAGUUUACUUAGGACUGGACCAGGGGACUUUCAGGAUGACCAGACCAGGAAGACGCGAGAUACAUUUUUUUUCUUACACGUGUGGUGACAUUUCUACUCUUCAGAACUUAAUUCCGAAAGGCAAACCAGUAACUACUGCACAGAGUUUAUUGGCUUUCGAGAUACUUCCCAGGGGAGGAAAAAAAAAAAGGCCACAUAGAAGCCUGUUGUUUGCCAAGAGAGGGCAGGGAUGGGACUGCACAAUGUGACUGCCUCAGUCCAGUGUCUGUUAUGUACCCACUCCAUUGCCACGUGGCCAUGUGCUCAGCCAUGCUGGCCAGUGGCCUGCCUGCCCGAGUGGGACAGACACUCACCGCAGAUGAAGCACGUGGUUUUUAAGAUCUCCUCCUUCUUUUGCUUCUCACUCCUCAGGUCAGCAAAGGUGUCAAUGAUGACCCCGAAAAUCAGGUUCAGGACGAUGAUGAUGACCAUGAAGAAGAAGAGGAGGUCGUAGAUCACCCUUGCAGCAAACAGAGGCUCCUGGAGAUGAGAGAUGGUGCUCUCAGGCGGGGCCCACACUGCCCUUUACUCUUCAGAGGUCAGAGUCCAGCUCCAGCUGGACAGAUGUCCACUUUGACGGGACUUACACUGAGCAUCAAACUUUAAAACUCCCAACCAAGUCUCCUUUUAAUCCCUGACUCUAUACUGGGAGUGCUUCAACAGCUGUGGGGAACACAACUAGGAAGAUUCUGUCAGUAUGUUGGCCAGACCUAAUAUUAAACAAACCUCUGUCUAA